CCUACGGGAGGCUGCAGUGGGGAAUAUUGCACAAUGGGGGAAACCCUGAUGCAGCGACGCCGCGUGAGUGAAGAAGUAUUUCGGCAUGUAAAGCUCUAUCAGCAGGGAAGAAAAUGACGGUACCUGAUUAAGAAGCCCCGGCUAACUACGUGCAAGCAGCCGCGGUAAUACGUAGGGGGCAAGCGUUCUCCGGAUUUACUGGGGGUAAAGGGAGUGUAGACGGCAGAACAAGUCUGGAGUGAAAUGCCGGGGCUUAACCGCGGAACUGCUUUGGAAACUGUGCAGCUAGAGUGCAGGAGAGGUGAGUGGAAUUCCUAGUGUAGCGGUGGAAUGCGUAGAUAUUAGGAGGAACACCAGUGGCGAAGGCGGCUUACUGGACUGUAACUGACGUUGAGGCUCGAAAGCAUGGGGAGCAAACAGGAUUAGAUACCCCUGUAGUC
rnacentral:rRNA from 1 species